GUCCGCUGCAGUCUGCACAUAGCUCUUUACAUACGUUUUCACUAAAAUUUUUAGACUAAUGCAUCACUCGUGUUUUGCAUAGUUGUAAUUAUUCCAAUGUAUCAAAUAAUUAACAUCAGAAACUUUUUUCCGGGAAUUUAAAAACUAUGCAUCAUGCUUUCUCAAUAAUAGAGAAACAUGUUAUUGUUUUUUGCGCAUGCCCAAUUGAUGAUCGGCGUCAGUCCAAAGCUUGAUCGCGGAGAGCAUGGCGAGGAUUUUAAAAACAGGUGCCCGGGAGAAGAAGGCUUGUUUUAUGCGAUCUUAAUGGUUUGAGGAUAUGCUAAAGGUGCCAUGCUGAGGUGAAGUUUGGAUCCAGAGGGCUGAGUGCCGUGUACAACACUUAAGGUUGGAGGAGGUAAACCUGCAACUCCUGAUAAAGUGGCAGUGCAAACUUUGGUGAACACUGAAAGUAUGCAUUAGGUGCCUUCCUGAGAUGAAGCUCAGAGGGUUGAGUGUCUUGUACAACACUUAAGGUCGGAGGAGGAAAACCUGCAACUCCUGAUGGGGUGGCGGUGCAAACUUUGGUGAACACUGAAAGUAUGCAUUUGGUGCCCCUUGAAGCUCGGAGGGUUGAGUGUUGGGUGUGACACUUAAAGUUGGAGGAGGUAAACCUGCAACUCCUGUCAUGGUGCCAGCUAUGGUGGGCCCUAAAGAUAUGUACGAGGUGCCGUGCUGAGGUGAAGUUUGGAUCCAGAGGGUUGAGUGUCUUGUACAACACUUAAGGUCGGAGGAGGAAAACCUGCAACUCCUGAUGGGGUGGCGGUGCAAACUUUGGUGAACACUGAAAGUAUGCAUUUGGUGCCCCUUGAAGCUCGGAGGGUUGAGUGUUGGGUGUGACACUUAAAGUUGGAGGAGGUAAACCUGCAACUCCUGUCAUGGUGCCAGCUAUGGUGGGCCCUAAAGAUAUGUACGAGGUGCCAUGCUGAGGUGAAGUUUGGAUCCAGAGGGCUGAGUGCCGUGUACAACACUUAAGGUCGGAGGAGGUAAACCUGCAACUCCUGAUGAAGUCGUAGUGCAAACUUUGGUGAACACUGAAAGUAUGCAUUAGGUAUUAAGACUUGUCAACUUAUCAAUGCAAUGAUUUCAUUUGAAAAAAUCAAGUCAGUUCCAAUUAUCAUAGCACAGUGUACAUUGUAUUUACCAUUUCCACGUUCCCCUUGAAGCUCGGAGGGUUGAGUGUUAGGUGUGACUGUUAAGGAGGGAGAAGAUAAACCUUCAACUCUUGACAUGGAUCCUUGCUGUGUAUUUCUUGAUGAUGGUCAUGAUGAGAUUCCUCAGAAGAUCCUUCAAUGCAGGCAUCAGUAUAACCUUAAACAAUGAUAUAAAACAUCUCUAAUUAACAAUAAUUUAUUCCACAAGAUUGUACAAGAUUUAUAAAAAAAACUUAUGGCCUUGAUUUUAAAACACCUAUUUUGUGCUGAUUGGUCAAAAUGUUUCACUUGUCUGUCUGUCAAUAUUUUUGAAACUGAAAAUUUUACAUUCAGAUUAAUUGAGCCAAUUUCAACGAACUUCUUUGAAGUAUAAUUUCUUGCUUGUAUGGCACAGUGGUUAGAAAAUAUGCUUUUAAAUUUGAAAGUAAGGAGCUGAUCCUUGCGUUUGGGGUUCGAAUCCACUGCGGCCUGAAACCACAUGAAUCGUGGUCGUGUGUUUCAGUCGAUGUUGUCAAAAAAAAUCCCUCAGUGCUCAAUGUCAAAUGUGUACAUGUUGAAAAGAGUGGAAAUUUAUGCUCUUUAUAAAACAAUAUCUCAAAUUGAUAUUGAAUACUUCAAUUUAUUUGUUUCAUGCAAUAAACCUGACUUGCAGCUUUGAUAUA